rnacentral:rRNA from 1 species
CCUACGGGAGGCAGCAGUAGGGAAUCUUCCACAAUGGACGAAAGUCUGAUGGAGCAACGCCGCGUGAAUGAAGAAGGCCUCGGGUCGUAAAAUUCUGUUGUCAGAGAAGAACGUGCGUGAGAGUAACUGUUCACGUAUUGACGGUAUCUGACCAGAAAGCCACGGCUAACUACGUGCCAG